rnacentral:ncRNA from 2 species
CUCUUAUCCAGAGAGGUGGAGGGACAGGGCCCUACGAAACCCGGCAACCAGUGUUUGACACAAUGGUGCCAAUUCCUGCAGAUUAUAUUUUAUAUGUUCUGCAAGAUAAGAG